rnacentral:rRNA from 1 species
UACGUGGGGGGCAAGCGUUGUCCGGAAUCAUUGGGCGUAAAGAGCGUGUAGGCGGCCCGAUAAGUCCGCCGUGAAAGUCCAGGGCUCAACCCUGGAAUGCCGGUGGAAACUGUCGGGCUGGAGUCCGGAAGAGGCGAGUGGAAUUCCUGGUGUAGCGGUGAAAUGCGCAGAUAUCAGGAGGAACACCAAUGGCGAAGGCAGCUCGCUGGGACGGUACUGACGCUGAGACGCGAAAGCGUGGGGAGCAAACAGG